GACGAACGCUGGCGGCGUGCUUAACACAUGCAAGUCGAACGGAAAGGCCCUGCUUGCAGGGUGCUCGAGUGGCGAAUGGGUGAGUAACACGUGGGUGAUCUGCCCCUUACUUUGGGAUAAGCCUGGGAAACUGGGUCUAAUACUGGAUAGGACCAUGCUGUAGGUGGUGUGGUGGAAAGAUUAGUUUCGGUAAGGGAUGAGCUCGCGGCCUAUCAGCUUGUUGGUGGGGUAAUGGCCUACCAAGGCGUCGACGGGUAGCCGGCCUGAGAGGGUGGACGGCCACAUUGGGACUGAGAUACGGCCCAGACUCCUACGGGAGGCAGCAGUGGGGAAUAUUGCACAAUGGGCGCAAGCCUGAUGCAGCGACGCCGCGUGGGGGAUGACGGCCUUCGGGUUGUAAACUCCUUUCAGCCAUGACGAAGCCCUUGUGGUGACGGUAGUGGUAGAAGAAGCACCGGCUAACUACGUG
rnacentral:rRNA from 1 species